UCUUGUUCUCUCUCAGUGCCAGUUCGUCUUUGUGCAUUUUGUUUCCCUGCGUCCUUUUCUUGUUUUUUCUCACCCCUAUUGGACUUGUUUGCCUCCACUGAUUGUCCCUCUGUGUUGUGGACCUACCUACCAGAGGGCCUGCUAACUAAGGUGGCUGACGAGAAAAGGUGAAUGGUCCAAUCCAGAGCCAGAGAUUGGUUUGUCCAUUCUGGGAUACUGUAGAGACAUGGCAAUCUACAUAAACAAGGAUGUGCACAUUCCAAGUGAAGCAGUACAGCAGCUCAGGACAGCAGGCUGUGGAGGAUGACUGUUCAAACUACAGCACAAAUCCUCAGCUGCAACCUUGCCUCUGCCUCCUCUACAUUCCCCUGCUGUAUCCAAGCUCAAAACACUGAGGAUGUUCUCUGACCUGUCUCACCGAGCCUAUUUAUACUUCUCUCUCUGUACCUCUGGAAGAAGGCCAAGGACUAUCAGGACCAGGAUCUCUGAGAUUUCAAAACAGCACCUAUCCUGAGGCAGUGUUGAAUAUAAUGGGUCUGGGCUCCACACAUCACCGGCAAUUUAUUCUGCUCAUUGAUUUUGUUUCAGUAUUGAUUGUUUAUAUUUUGAAACUGGAGCUUUUUUACUACUUCAGCGUGUCUAUUUGUCUGGUCCUGGCUGACUUAUUGGUGAAUUUACUGCUGUAAUUUGUCCUGUCUAUUUCAUAGGGGGAAUAUUGGGCACCUCGGUUGAUAUGGCAACAUGGCUUUGUGAACCUUGAACAUCAUGUAAAACUUUUGCAAUCUGUCUUCAUUCAGUACUUCAGGAGGAGACACUAGAGGAAUAUUUUUAUUCACAGGUAACCGUAACUACGCACGGCAGGUCUCUCUCAACAUAUUAAAACCAUGUGCAUGUUACUGCAGUAAGAGAGAUACUCAAGAAUUUAGAGUAUGGAGGAUAUAAAUAUUUAGCUUUCCCAAAAACAAGAGAGAAACUGCCAGGAAUGGAUAGAGAGCGUUUGUGUACUCUGAUGCAGUUUUUCCCAACUGGUGGGUUGCGGGUCCCCUCUGAAUGGACAGCAAGUGACUCAGAACGAAUGUCAAGUUUGUUUAAAAAACAAACAAAAAAAAAAACACUUUUUGAAGUACAGUGAAUUUCUACCACAUAGCUUUUAUUUUGAAGUGCCAUUUCCUGCUGUAGAGUAAUUGACAAA